AGCGAACGCUGGCGGCAGGCUUAACACAUGCAAGUCGAGCGCCCCGCAAGGGGUGCGGCCGACGGGAGAGUAACACGUGGGAACAUACCUUUUGGUCCGGAACAACUGAGGGAAACUUAAGCUAAUACCGGAUAAGCCCUUACGGGGCAAGAUUUAUCGCCGAAAGAUUGGCCCGCGUCUGAUUAGCUAGUUGGUGAGGUAACGGCUCACCAAGGCGACGAUCAGUAGCUGGUCUGAGAGGAUGAUCAGCCUCACUGGGACUGAGACACGGCCCAGACUCCUACGGGAGGCAGCAGUGGGGAAUAUUGGACAAUGGGGGCAACCCUGAUCCAGCCAUGCCGCGUGAGUGAUGAAGGCCUUAGGGUUGUAAAGCUCUUUUGCCCGGGAAGAUAAUGACGGUACCGGGAGAAUAAGCCGCGGGUAACUUCGUG
rnacentral:rRNA from 1 species